CUCAUCCUUUUCUUGGGGUUGCGCUACUAUCCAAGGAACGCAUAGUAAGGGUAGUAUUGCUAACGCUUAUACAACACACUUGCAUUAGUUAAAACUCUGCUUUAUUUUGAUGAAAUUUUUGGAAAA
ensembl:snRNA